rnacentral:lncRNA from 1 species
GACUUUCUAUCCAAAUUGAAUACCUAUAACUGGUCCUAAAACUUCUCUAUCUCAUACUCAUAUUCUUACAUUCUCCCACUUGAGUAUGAGAACAGUUUCAAGUACUCAGUUUAUCCAAUCAUACUUAGAUAGAAGUGAUCACUAACAGAUAAUCAUCUCAAAUUAUUAUAAAGGUGAUCACAUAAUUAAGUCAUUCACCAACACACAAGUACAUAGACACAACCAGCUUACAUAAACCAAAACAAUGAAUUUAUAAUUGCGUCUGCAACACAAAAUACAGAUUUAACUUACAAAUCACAAUGUCCAGUUCAUGUUCAUAGCAAUGUAUCUAAGCUCAAAAGUAAACCAAGACGUCUACUCCCACUCAUAUAGCCACCAAAUCUUUUGGAUAACAAAAGCUUAACCUCACAUACAACUUACCCAUGCAUUUUAAAAGUAUUGAACUUAAGAAUUUUUUCUGUUACAUCGCAGAAUUAACUCAAAAGUCACAACAUACUUAAUUUGCACUUUGUAAUUAUGUGAACCAAUAUAGCAAAAACCAAACCAAUUUGCUCCCACUUAUCUAGGCUAUACUUAACACAAACAAGUUAAGUAUAAGUUAAUAUCAACUAUAUUAACUAACAGUCAUUGCAAUACACUGAAUGUCUUAUCAAUGUGAUCAAUUGCCGCAACCAAUAUGCAAACAAAUUCCAUGAUCACAUUCAUCCAAUUUGUAUUUACAACAAUGUGAUUUUACUUGACCAGAACAAACACAUAAAUUGAUUUGCUCCCACUAUAUCAAGUUAAGUUUAGUUCCAGCAAAUAGCACUAAACUUCUCAUUACUUAAACAAAUUAAGUAACAUAAAUAAUUACCAAUUGCUUCAAUAAAACCAUAAUCUGGUUUUCAAGCAUCCAAAUGAAUUAUAAUGGCCGGCCUAAAUAACCUUAUGCUUACAUUCGAACAUAUGAUUCUCCCACUUAAGCAUAAGCAGAAUGAUCUGCACAGCCAAUAAAGAAACCGGAGAUAUCAACCAAUUGAUUCCCGAUUCCUUACCAAUUGCAUAAUCUCAGUUUAGUCAAAUACACCUAAACCAUUAUGCAAGCAGUCUAUGUAUCAAAAGAUAGUCACAAUCCAUUCGGAAAAACUUAUCUCACAUAAACCCAAAAUCACCAGUUUCAACAAUAAUCAAAAUCAGAAUAGCAAGCACAAUAUUCUUGCAUUCAAUUUGAUCCUAACUAGUUCAAUACCCAUCGAGCAAGAUCAACUAAAUUUUGAUAAUGUCUGGAUAUAAAGGCACAAGUCAUCUUGAUUAAAACAAGAUAAUCAAGAUGAUCAUCCAAUAAAAUUUAGUGUACUUAUAGAUUUAAUACAUAAUAUCAAAUCUCUUACACUUACAAUAUAUCAAGUGAGAUGAGUUUCAGAAUACAUUCUUGCCAACAAGGUUUCACUAAACAAUUUAUAUCAUUUCAUACAGGUACUAACACAAGAGAGCCUUCACAUGUUUUUUGGUUAUACAGUGCAGAUAUUGGCAUUAACGAACCCAAAAAAUUCUGAACUACAUCAUUCACAUAUAUGGCAACACCCCCAAAACCUAUUAUAUAUAGUGUAACCAAAAUUGGGAUAUGAAUUACACUCAUAAUUUUAAAAACGUCAUUAUGGAUACUCGUAUAAUCCAAUUUUGCUUUUCUAGAAUAAUUCAAACCAAUCAGACCCACAUAAAAGCCACAGGUAUUUGGUAGCAACAAUAAGUCAAAUUCUACUAUCAUAAUUCAUAAUGGAAAAUCAUGAUGCAAGCUUCCAAGUUUCAAGCAAGUUAAUGAGAAAUCUUACAUCUGCUUGAGACAACAAAAUAGCAACAAAACAAUAUUUUCCACCCAAUCUAAUUACACAGGCUCUAACUCAAAAAUAGAAGAGCAAUGUGUACACCAAAUAUUAGUCUAAUGAAUCUUUAUGCAGAAAGAAUGAUUCCAGUCAUCUCACAUAAAUCAUAAGUUGGCAUCUAUAGGGACUUCGAGUUUAAUUGUGCCUUCACAAAAUAAACAAGCAUACUCGGAAUAGCAAAAGCCCUAAUUCAUUAUGCUCCAACUCAUCGCACUAUAAUCACGCAUAUAGGAGAACAAUUAAUUAUGCAUGAAACAGUGAACUGAGUUACCUGAAUGCAUCAUUGGACUCGUAUUCGACAACCCGAUUGCAAUUCCUUUGCUCCAAAUCAACGAAACAAAUUAUCCAUCAAUGCUCGAGACCCAUCCAUACGGAUUGCCAUGGUUACAGACGUGCCGAACCAAAAUCAUCGCCAAAGCGACGACCAGAAUCCCGUCGACCCAAAUUCCCACAAAAAAAGACAAACCAUGAACGUUAAUAUCUCUUAGACAAACAAAAACUUAUUAAUGUCGUCAUAAUCAAGAUUUCAUCUUUCUUUUAUCUUACUAAUAUUUGGUCAGGCAUAUUUUAUGCACAUCUUUAUUCAUAUAAAGGAUUAAGAAACCACAGCUACCUCAAUCUUCAGACAUCAUAAUGAACACAGCGGAAGCAAUCAUUCUCAAAAUUAGAACUAUGAUGUUUAAGAUAAAUGUGUUUUGCUAAAUCACUUUAUUGAUCUCCAAAGAAGCAAGCAAGAAUAAGUUCACCCUUUCCCACGUGCAGCAUAAUAUAAAUUGUUAUCAUACCAGAUUUUAUACCUGAUUCACAUAAUCUGCAGAAGCAAAGCAGAUUCAUAUACGCUAAAACAUACACAGGUAUUGAAAGAAUUAAAAGCAAUCAUACCUUUUAAUCACUGCAGACUUAUAGACAACAUAUGCAAGAACAGGCAUCAACAGACGUCUCAUGCAUAAUGAUCAUUUUUCAUGGUUGUUUAAGAAAACACAAAACCAUCAGUAGAAAAUGCAAAUCAAAAUUUUUCCGCAUAUAUGGAAAAAUUCAGCCUUGAUUAUCAGCUCUAAUCAGAAAUAUCAAUACAUACCUCCUGCAUAUUUCAAUUUGGAACAGCGCAACGGAAAUAAUUAUCCAAAUUGAAAAAAUUAAUUUAAGAGUUGAGAGAAUCACAAAACCUAGAACAUGUUUGAUCGAUGAAGUUGCUAAUCAAAACCCCAAAUUGAGAAAACAACCUCAACCAAUAGAUUUGCAGAAAAAAAAACCAAUGGUAAUAGUUUAAAUAUAUUUUGUCAUUAUCUGGAGAUCACAUACCACCGAUGCAUCUAAGAUGAAAACAUUGAGGUUUGCACCAGCAAUUGGCCACAUAUCAAUCCCCAAAAAUCCUGACGGUCAAUUUUAUUUUAUUAAUUCUCUGCAUAUUGAAAACGCAAUGUCGUUUUUGUGAAACUCUUUUCCAGCGAAUUCGUUUAAACCAGUUUCGAAACCUGGAAGUCGCAAAAUUUAUUUAUCUAUUUAUAAACACAUUCGACUUUUCUCCUUUACAGAUUUGAACUCAUGUUUGUGUCUUGUGGCUCUGAUACCACAUGUAGGAACUUGUAAACAAACAAACACCAAGACCAAAACAUGAACCACAAACAAAAGGAAACCAACCCAGUUAUGUGCACAUAAAUAACCAGAAAGGAAAACAUACCUGCAGCUGCACCAGAACUCGUAGCCAUUGCAGCAAACUUUCAGUGAUCCUUCUCUUCUCUUGCAGAUUGUCAAGAGCUCGACUCACAGAUAGGUUAUGGUCCAAUAUGAGCGUUAGUUCUGUGAGAAGAGAGGUCACUAUAUAUAUACAUAUAGACUUCACCAAAAUAGAUCAGGAUUUCCUAUCAAAAUCCUCAUCGGAAACAAACACUUGUUUCCUGAUGCUAACCAAAAUCCUUUUCAAUCAAGGAUCAACAUUCCUUUCAUCAAUAGGACUUUCUAUCCAAAUUGAAUACCUAUAACUGGUCCUAAAACUUCUCUAUCUCAUACUCAUAUUCUUACAUUCUCUAUCCAUGUCACCCGAGUUGCGUUGUCCACGUGUUAGGCUUGAAAAUUCGCCACAAGUGAGGGGACGUGUUGAGAAUAAAUCUCACAUUUAUGAGAGGAGAUACGUGCAUAUGCUUAUAAGUAAUUAGACUAUUUCUCAUAUUGUCAAUUGGAUUUAUGGUAGAACCUCAACUUUCUUCAAGAAGCAUCAUCUAAUUUACUUAAUACAUAGAAGUCUUUAACUUUCAGGAAUACCUUGUCAAGUUUAUGGCUCGACUCAAUCACUUGUAUUGUAAUACUACUGACAGUGUUACGCCUUAAUACGGACGUCGCGGUUGAGCAGCUGCCAUGUUUUUUCACGAUGCUAUAUAUAUACCAUGAUCCCAUCUUACAAACUAUUGUUUGUGAUGUACAUAUUCAUCUGAAUUUUUUUGUAACCCUAAUCGUUUACCUAAAACGAUUAGAGUUAACGGGAGUCUUUAUUUUUCACUUUUAGCUUUGAAAAUACAUCACUUUUACCUUUCCACAAGAAAGAAACCAAUGCCUCCCAUCUUUCUCUAUCUCUCAAGAAAUGGGGAUUGAGAAUUACAUUAUCUACUUUCUUCUUUGUUUUUCAUUGAGCUUUUCCGAUGAAAGAAAGGCAUCUUGAAUUAGGUACCACCAAACCGAUAGAAAUGAUUCCUCAUGAGUCGGUCCCUUUAUAAUUUCCUUCUACAUGAAGAUGCUGAUAUGAUGAUUGUUCAGUUGUGGUUCACAAACAAGCAUACUUCGAUCAUAUGUCGUUGUGAUAAUAUCUUAAGUCAAUAGUUUAUUACUAUAUAAGAAUGUUAAAUCACAUGAAAAUUAGUGAUUUGAUUUAGAUACUGCAACUGUGACAUCUCUUAGUACAGGUAACUUCAUGUCCAUACCCUCAGGAUUACUAAUUUGGUGAACUUUGAUAAAAGAGAGAUGCUCAAGUGCCAAUGUCUCAAACUAAUCAUGCGACGUUAAGUAAAAGCGUUAAGUUACACCUAAUACAUUUGAGACACUGCCACCUUAAUACUUCUAUUACAAUUAAUUAUCUCCCUAGCUAGUUAAGCAAAGAAUCAAUGAGAACUACGCAUUUUCCUUAUCUAUGUUUAUGCACCUGCUUGUACCCAUCUAGUAUUCUCAUAUCACUCACCAUUGCUGACUGCUGAUACAACAAGAUACCAUGUCCCAUGUGGGUCCCAUAUAUACACAGUGAGUGGCUAUCAACAUGUCCUUCCAAAGGGAGGGUUGAGCAUUGCAAGCUAGAAGCUUGUGGCCAUUGAGAAUGAUAUCAACUCCGGUCUCUGUAUUCGGAGUCCGCAAAUCAAGAGAUCUAGACCGUUCAAGAGAGAGAAAAAGAGAUAGGGGCCGUUUAAAAUUUUGGACUUUUGUGAAGUAGAUUAGUGGAAUAGGCUAAUGAAGGCUGUAAAAUUGAAAUUGAGUGGUAUAAAUCUCUCGGUCCACGAACUUCAAACACAGAGAUUCAUCCGUGGCCAUUGUGGCCUUGUGGGGAAGUCUCUGCAUCUUCAAUCAUCCAUUCUAAAGUUUGGAAAAAAGGAGACUGGUCACAUGGCCAGUUGCCAUAUAUGGAUUGUCCUCUACAAGGUAGAAAGAGUAUGAGCCUUUUGGGUUCAUGUUCCCAACCCUCCCCAUACCUUAAUGUUUCGGUCUUCUAGUCUACUAUAAGUUACAAAAUGCGAAAUUCGAACUUGAUUUUAGGAGAACGACUACAUUAUCUUGACUAACUAACCAAAAUUGUAUUUUCAGCCUUAACUAAACAAUAGCAUGUAGCAAUUCAAAGUACAAGAAAAUUGCUCAAAUGGACCUACAUGGACAGUGAGGGUUAGCUUACAAGUUUGUUCCUAUCCAUAAUACGAUUUUUAAUCUAAUCCUUUUCUUAAAAAUGGAGUCCUUAUUAUUUCUGGGGUCAAAAGUCAACAAUGCCCACAAAUAUGUUUAUUCAAGAAUAUCCUAAUAGAGGUUCGAGAAUCUGAUAAUUUUAAACCUUACAACCUUAAGAGGUAAGCAAAAUCAGACUCUUCGUAAAUACAUAAUGACAAGAGGUCUCACUCUCUUACAUCAAUGAACACGUUUUGAGAAUGUCAAAUAUGUCCUUGCUAGCAAAGGUGUAUUAAACUAUUAUAUGGGGAUUAGAGGAUGCAAUGUCUAAUUAAGUCUCAAUAAUUUAUGAGAAGAUGGAGUGCAUGUUUACGAAAAAGAGACUGCAUGAAUAUUAUGUGCACCCUAACCUAACCUAACCCAGUCAAUUGUACUAUGUCAUGGUUAAUUCAAAAUUUUGAUGGUAUUUGUAUAGCAUCACCACCUCAAUAAUUCAAAGCAUCUUUCAAUCUCCAAGUUUCAACCCACCCUAUUCUUUUUUAUUAAUUCUUAAUUACUCCUGUGUUCCAAUUCAUCACAUUCCCUAUGCUUUGAUAUAAUACCAACAAUCUUUUUCAUUUGAAUUUUCUCGUAAAACUUUAUAAAUUAUCUCUUUCAUUUUUCAAUAUCAAUCUGCGAUUAUUUGAACUGUCUAUUUUCUAGAUCAUUCUUUAGAGAUUUAGAGAUCAACUCUGUCAAAAAUCAAGCAAAUCGGAAAUUAUUUAGUCAUUCGAUAAAAUAGAUAAACAAUAUUAUUCCAUUGAAUAUUGAAAUUUGACAUAUUUAAUUGUCGGCUAAAUGAUUUCAUAUUUGGUUGAUGUUUUCUAGAAUUGAUUUUAAAACAGUGAACUAUAAAGUCAAGAGUUCCGAUCGUUGUAUACCAUUAUAAAAUAAAAAAUGAGAGUUGAGAAAUUAGCAUGAAAAUGUCUGAAUGAGAAAGUUGAUGGCAUCCCAUCUUUGAAAGGCAACAAAUGAAGCAAUUAUCAAUUUACCAAUUGAAUAUGCAGAGAUUGGUGGAUGCUAAAUAUAUAUUUGCAUAAACUGCUUAAUCAUUAGCAAAUCUGUUUUACAAUUGCCAAACCAGUUACUACCCCUCGCAUAUUUGUUUGAAGCAUCUAAUUUUGAUUGUUUUUUAGAUUUGGUUGGUUGGUUGGUCAGUCGGUUCUUUCAUCUGAUGUAAGUUGUAACCAAUUUGUGCAAUAAUUAAGCAUUUGAUCGUACUGAAUAAUUUAAAGUUUUUUGAAUU